rnacentral:rRNA from 1 species
UACGGAGGGUGCAAGCGUUGCUCGGAAUUAUUGGGCGUAAAGGGUAGGUAGGUGGUCUCAUUUGUCUGGGGUGAAAGCCUUGAGCUUAACUCAAGAAGUGCCCCAGAAACGGUGAGACUGGAGUCCUGGAGAGGGUCGUGGAAUCCCGGUGUAGCGGUGAAAUGCGUAGAGAUCGGAGGAACACCAGAGGCGAAGGCGGCGAGCCUGGACAGCACUGACACUCAAGUCAC